GUUCCUGGUUGUAUGCCUGAGAUAUGAUAGUUUGAUUUGUUGUCACUCCGAUCUGAACACACUGACUACUUCUUUGAUUAGCUAGAACACUUGAAGUAUCAACCUUGGUACAUUUGAUCUCAUCCCCUUGAGAAGCACUACUUUGUGCCAAAUUUUGAUGAAGUACAUAAGAAGCAGCUUUCCUUGUGCAUCCAAUCAAUGGUUUGCUUGCUGAUCUACAUAACUGGCUGGAUGUCAAGGUUUUCGAGGUGGCAGUAUCACAUUCUGACAAGG
rnacentral:misc_RNA from 1 species